AGUUUGAUCAUGGCUCAGAUUGAACGCUGGCGGCAUGCCUUACACAUGCAAGUCGAACGGCAGCGGGCCUUCGGGGUGCCGGCGAGUGGCGAACGGGUGAGUAAUGCAUCGGAACGUGCCAUUGAGUGGGGGAUAACGUAGCGAAAGUUACGCUAAUACCGCAUAUUCUGUGAGCAGGAAAGCAGGGGACCGCAAGGCCUUGCGCUCUUUGAGCGGCCGAUGUCAGAUUAGCUAGUUGGUGAGGUAAAGGCUUACCAAGGCGACGAUCUGUAGCGGGGUCUGAGAGGAUGAUCCGCCACACUGGAACUGAGACACGGUCCAGACUCCUACGGGAGGCAGCAGUGGGGAAUUUUGGACAAUGGGCGCAAGCCUGAUCCAGCCAUGCCGCGUGAGUGAAGAAGGCCUUCGGGUUGUAAAGCUCUUUCGGCCGGGAAGAAAUCGCAUGGGUUAAUACCCUGUGUGGAUGACGGUACCGGAAUAAGAAGCACCGGCUAACUACGUG
rnacentral:rRNA from 1 species